rnacentral:rRNA from 1 species
GACGAACGCUGGCGGCGUGCUUAACACAUGCAAGUCGAACGGAAAGGCCCUUUCGGGGGUACUCGAGUGGCGAACGGGUGAGUAACACGUGGGUGAUCUGCCCUGCACUUUGGGAUAAGCUUGGGAAACUGGGUCUAAUACCGAAUACACCCUGCUGGUCGCAUGGCCUGGUGGGGGAAAGCUUUUGCGGUGUGGGAUGGGCCCGCGGCCUAUCAGCUUGUUGGUGGGGUGAUGGCCUACCAAGGCGACGACGGGUAGCCGGCCGUGAGAGGGUGUCCGGCCACACUGGGACUGAGAUACGGCCCAGACUCCUACGGGAGGCAGCAGUGGGGAAUAUUGCACAAUGGGCGCAAGCCUGAUGCAGCGACGCCGCGUGGGGAUGACGG